rnacentral:rRNA from 1 species
UACGUAGGGGGCCAGCGUUGCUCGGAAUUACUGGGCGUAAAGGGUGCGUAGGCGGCGCGGUAAGUCGGGUGUGAAAUCUUGGAGCUUAACUCCGAAACUGCAUUCGAUACUGCCGUGCUUGAGGACUGGAGAGGAGACUGGAAUUUACGGUGUAGCGGUGAAAUGCGUAGAUAUCGUAAGGAAGACCAGUGGCGAAGGCGGGUCUCUGGACAGUUCCUGACGCUGAAGCACGAAGGCCAGGGGAGCAAACGGG